rnacentral:rRNA from 1 species
GGUAGCAGGAAGUGCUUGCACUUUGCUGACGAGUGGCGGACGGGUGAGUAAUACUUAGGAACAUGCCUUUGUGUGGGGGAUAACCAUUGGAAACGAUGGCUAAUACCGCAUAAUGUCUUUGGACCAAAGAGGGCUUUCGGGCUCUCGCGCAAAGAGUGGCCUAAGUGAGAUUAGCUUGUUGGUGAGGUAAAGGCUCACCAAGGCGACGAUCUCUAGCUGUUCUGAGAGGAAGAUCAGCCACACUGGGACUGAGACACGGCCCAGACUCCUACGGGAGGCAGCAGUGGGGAAUAUUGCACAAUGGGGGCAACCCUGAUGCAGCCAUGCCGCGUGUGUGAAGAAGGCCUUCGGGUUGUAAAGCACUUUCAGUUGUGAGGAAAGGUUGGUGGUUAAUACCCAUCAGCUGUGACGUUAGCAACAGAAGAAGGACCGGCUAACUCCGUGCCAGCAGCCGCGGUAAUACGGAGGGUCCGAGCGUUAAUCGGAAUUACUGGGCGUAAAGCGCACGCAGGCGGUUUGUUAAGCUAGAUGUGAAAGCCCCGGGCUCAACCUGGGAAUAGCAUUUAGAACUGGCAGACUAGAGUCUUGGAGAGGGGAGUGGAAUUUCUGGUGUAGCGGUG